rnacentral:rRNA from 1 species
UACGGAGGGUGCGAGCGUUGUCCGGAAUCACUGGGCGUAAAGGGCGCGUAGGUGGCGGAGCAAGUCAACGGUGAAAGCUCGACGCUCAACGUCGAGUCGGCCGUCGAUACUGCUUCGCUGGAGCACUGUAGAGGCUCAUGGAAUUCCGGGUGUAGCGGUGGAAUGCGUAGAGAUCCGGAAGAACACCGGUGGCGAAGGCGGUGAGCUGGGCAGUAGCUGACACUGAGGCGCGACAGCGUGGGGAGCAAACAGG